rnacentral:rRNA from 1 species
GAUUGAACGCUGGCGGCAUGCCUUACACAUGCAAGUCGAACGGUAACAGGUCUUCGGAUGCUGACGAGUGGCGAACGGGUGAGUAAUACAUCGGAACGUGCCCGAUCGUGGGGGAUAACGAAGCGAAAGCUUUGCUAAUACCGCAUACGAUCUACGGAUGAAAGCAGGGGACCGCAAGGCCUUGCGCGAACGGAGCGGCCGAUGGCAGAUUAGGUAGUUGGUGGGAUAAAAGCUUACCAAGCCGACGAUCUGUAGCUGGUCUGAGAGGACGACCAGCCACACUGGGACUGAGACACGGCCCAGACUCCUACGGGAGGCAGCAGUGGGGAAUUUUGGACAAUGGGCGAAAGCCUGAUCCAGCCAUGCCGCGUGCAGGAUGAAGGCCUUCGGGUUGUAAACUGCUUUUGUACGGAACGAAAAGACUCUGGUUAAUACCUGGGGUCCAUGACGGUACCGUAAGAAUAAGCACCGGCUAACUACGUG